rnacentral:rRNA from 1 species
AUUGAACGCUGGCGGCAUGCCUUACACAUGCAAGUCGAACGGUAACGGGCCUUCGGGUGCCGACGAGUGGCGAACGGGUGAGUAAUGCAUCGGAACGUACCUUUCAGUGGGGGAUAACGUAGCGAAAGUUACGCUAAUACCGCAUAUUCUGUGAGCAGGAAAGCAGGGGAUCGCAAGACCUUGCGCUGAUUGAGCGGCCGAUAUCAGAUUAGCUAGUUGGUGAGGUAAAGGCUCACCAUGGCGACGAUCUGUAGCGGGUCUGAGAGGAUGAUCCGCCACACUGGAACUGAGACACGGUCCAGACUCCUACGGGAGGCAGCAGUGGGGAAUUUUGGACAAUGGGGGCAACCCUGAUCCAGCCAUGCCGCGUGAGUGAAGAAGGCCUUCGGGUUGUAAAGCUCUUUCGGCCGGGAAGAAAUCGUAUGGGUUAAUACCCUGUGCGGAUGACGGUACCGGCAUAAGAAGCACCGGCUAACUACGUGCCAGCAGCCG